ACACGGACCCAAGGAGUCUAGCAUGUACGCAAGUCAUUGGAACUUAGCGAAUUCUAAAGGCGAAAUGAAAGUAAAAGGUAGCCUUGUGCUACCUUAGGGCAGAUGGAUAAUAAUUAAUUAUUGUCUCGCAUGCCCAGGGCGUUCAAAUCUCAUUGCGAGAUUGGGCGCACCUAGAGCGUACACGCUGGGACCCGAAAGAUGGUGAACUAUGCCUGGUCAGGACGAAGUCAGGGGAAACCCUGAUGGAGGUCCGUAGCGAUUCUGACGUGCAAAUCGAUCGUAAGAACUGGGUAUAGGGGCGAAAGACUAAUCGAACCAUCUAGUAGCUGGUUCCCUCCGAAGUUUCCCUCAGGAUAGCUGGCACUCAUCGAUACGAUUCUCAUCCGGUAAAGCGAAUGAUUAGAGGCAUUGGGACCGAAACGGUCUCAACCUAUUCUCAAACUUUAAAUGGGUGAGAUCUCUGGCUUGUUUGAAUGUAAAGCCGUGAGAUAUCGGAUCAGAGUGCCAAGUGGGCCACUUUUGGUAAGCAGAACUGGCGCUGUGGGAUGAACCAAACGCUGAGUUAAAGCGCCUAAAUCGACGCUUAUGGGACACCAUGAAAGGCGUUGGUAACU
rnacentral:rRNA from 1 species